UAUUAAUUGAGAACAGACGAUAAAAUCUUAAAUAUCGUCCUCACCUCACCGGCGUGAAACGAAACCCCAAUUCGUCGAAGAGUUGCUUUCUUCUGAUCUAUCCUCGACGAAGCAGCACAGCAAUUCCGAAGAGCGAUUCGAAGAACCCUAAAAGCCCUACACUAUCCCAGGGUUUCCUGACAAAUAAAUGGAAGAGAGCAGGAAAGAAGGGGAAACUAAGAGGAGUCACCGAGAUCGGGAUCGAGAGAAGGAGAAGAAAGGAGAUAAACACAAGGACAAAGAUAGAGUAGAUAAAAGAGACCGUGAUAGCAGACGAUAUGAGCGAGAAAAGAGUUCUGAUUCUGAGGAGAGAUACGUGAGAGAGAAGCAUCGAGAUAAGGACGUGGAUAGAAUACGAAGCAGAGAUGAUGAACGAGAGAGAAGCAAAGAUAGGAAAAGGGAUAAAGGUAAAGAGAGGGACAAGGAGAGGGAGAGGGAGAAAGUCAAAGAAAAGGAGAAGAGGGAGCGGAAGGAAAGGGAAAAAGAAAAAGAGAGGGAGAGAAAGGAACGUGAAAGGGAGGCAGAAGAGAGGGUGAGGGACAAGAGGGAGAGGGAAAAGGAAAAAAAUCGAGAGAGGAGGAUAAGGGAGAGAGAGAGGGAGAGGCAUAGGGAUGUUAAUUCUGAUGAUUCUGAGGAUGAUGUUAGGGAGCGUAGUAGGAAGCGGCAUAAGAAGAGUGACAGUGAGUACAAGGAGAGAGAUCGGGAACGGAGUGUUAGUAGGUCAAACAGACACAGGGAUGAUGGAACUGAGAGCCCAAAAAAGAGGAGUGAUGGAGCUGAUUCGGAUAAAAAGGAGAAGGCAACCCGUGAGGAGGAGCUAGAGGACGAACAACGGAAAUUGGACGAGGAAAUGGAAAAGCGGAGGAGGAGAGUUCAGGAAUGGCAAGAGUUAAAGAGAAAGAAGGAAGAAGAUGAGAGAGAGAAGCGUGGGGAAGAAACUGUUGAUGAAAAAAAGUCUGGAAAGACCUGGACUCUUGAUGGAGAAUCUGAUGACGAAGAAGCAGGGAAAUCAGAGACAGGUAUGGAUGUUGAUGGGGAAGGUAUGGAUGUUGAUAGGGAGGUCAAUGGGGAGAAUGUUACUGACGGUGAAAUUAUAGAUGCCAUCGUGCCAGAUACUGAUAAUACAACAGCUGCUGCAGAGGAUGAGGAAGUCGAUCCAUUAGAUGCUUUUAUGCUUUCUGUGGUGAUGCCUGAAGUUGAGAAGCUGAACACUACUGUGGAACCUUCAAGUGUUGAUGACGAGAACAAGGAGAAAACGGUUGAUUCAACUAAUGGUGAAAAGCUGAGGGCAAGUUCAAAAAAAUCUCUUGGCAGGAUAAUGCCUGGGGAAGAUUCUAACUCGGAUCAUGGGGACCUUGAGAAUGAUGACGAUCCUUUAGAAAAUGAAGAUGAUGAUGAGUUCAUAAAAAGGGUGAAGAAAACAAAAGCUGAGAAACUUUCCUUAGUUGACCACUCAAAGAUAGAUUAUAUACCAUUUCGUAAAAAAUUUUAUAUUGAGGUGAAGGAGAUAUCAAGGAUGACACCGGAAGAGGUGGGUGCAUACCGGAAAGAACUGGAACUGAAGAUACAUGGUAAGGAUGUGCCAAAACCCAUUAAGAGCUGGCACCAAACUGGGCUUACAAACAAAAUCUUGGAAACAAUAAAGAAGCUAAACUAUGAAAAGCCAAUGCCGAUUCAAGCUCAGGCACUCCCUAUAGUUAUGAGUGGUCGAGACUGCAUUGGAAUUGGAAAAACUGGAUCGGGCAAAACCCUUGCAUUUGUACUGCCAAUGCUGAGGCAUAUCAAGGACCAGCCACCUGUGGUAGCUGGGGAUGGACCUAUUGGGCUUAUCAUGGCACCAACCAGGGAGCUUGUUCAGCAGAUUCACAGUGAUAUCCGAAAGUUCGCCAAGGUUCUGGGUCUAAGGUGUGUGCCUGUAUUUGGAGGUUCAGGUGUUGCUCAACAAAUAAGUGAACUGAAGCGGGGUACUGAAAUUGUUGUCUGUACCCCUGGUAGGAUGAUUGACAUACUUUGCACAAGUGGAGGAAAAAUAACAAAUCUGCGUAGAGUAACUUAUUUGGUCAUGGAUGAAGCUGAUCGAAUGUUUGAUAUGGGUUUUGAACCUCAAAUCACUCGUAUUGUUCAAAAUAUCCGUCCAGAUCGCCAAACUGUGUUAUUUUCUGCGACUUUCCCUCGCCAGGUUGAAGUUUUGGCUCGUAAAGUCUUGGACAAACCUGUGGAAAUACAAGUUGGUGGAAGGAGUGUUGUCAAUAAGGACAUCAUGCAAUUGGUCGAAGUGAGGCAGGAAAAUGAAAGGUUCUUGAGAUUAUUAGAGUUACUUGGAGAAUGGUAUGAAAAAGGAAAAAUUUUGAUAUUUGUACAAACACAGGACAAAUGUGAUUCUUUAUUUAGAGAUCUACUUAAGCACGGAUAUCCUUGUCUAUCACUUCAUGGGGCCAAAGAUCAAACAGAUCGAGAGUCCACCAUAGCUGAUUUUAAGAGCAAUGUUUGUAAUUUGUUGAUUGCAACCAGUAUUGCUGCCAGAGGGCUAGAUGUCAAGGAGCUUGAACUGGUGAUCAAUUUUGAUGCUCCCAAUCACUAUGAAGAUUAUGUUCAUCGUGUUGGACGUACGGGUCGAGCUGGCCGGAAAGGAUGUGCUAUAACUUUUAUCUCCGAGGAAGAUGCUAGAUAUUCUCCAGAUCUUGUCAAAGCAUUGGAACUUUCUGAACAAGUUGUCCCGGAUGACUUGAAAUCUCUUGCAGAUAAUUUCAUGGCAAAAGUAAAGCAGGGACUUGCACAGGCCCAUGGGACUGGUUAUGGAGGAAGUGGUUUUAAAUUUAAUGUAGAAGAAGAUGAAGUGAGGAGGGCGGCAAAGAAGGCACAGGCCAAAGAGUAUGGUUUUGAGGAAGACAAGUCUGAUUCAGAAGAUGAAGAUGAAGGUAUUCGAAAGGCAGGGGGUGAUAUCUCACAGCAGGCUGCUCUUGCUCAGAUAGCUGCUAUUGCUGCUGCCUCCAAAGGUACUACUACAGCAAUGCAGACACCUGCCUCUGCUGCCCAACUGCUUCCCAAUGGUGGACUUCCUGUUUCUCUUCCAGGUGUCCUUGGUUUAGGUGUCACGUUACCAGGAACAGCAGCAGUUGUGCCUGGGACUGGUCUGCCACUUGUUGGCAAUGAUGGGGCAGCUCGGGCUGCAGCACUUGCAGCUGCCAUGAACUUACAGCAUAACCUGGCAAAGAUUCAUGCUGAUGCAAUGCCUGAACACUACGAAGCAGAGUUGGAGAUAAAUGAUUUUCCCCAGAAUGCUAGAUGGAAAGUCACCCACAAGGAAACAUUGGGCCCAAUAUCAGAGUGGACUGGAGCUGCCAUUACUACUAGGGGUCAGUAUUUUCCACCUGGGAAGGUUCCAGGACCAGGAGAUCGCAAGCUCUACUUGUUUAUUGAGGGGCCUACUGAACAGUCUGUCAAGAGAGCUAAAGCAGACUUAAAAGGUGUUUUGGAAGAGAUCUCAAAUCAGGCACUAUCACUUCCUGGAGGAAAUCAGCAAGGCAGAUAUCAAGUUAUAUGAGCGUCAGUAAUUAAUCCAACUGUAGGUAUGAUUUUAUUUGCCUAUGCUGAUAUUUUGAUGAUUUUAAAGUACUUGUUAAUGGAUCUUCAGUCACAUAACGAGCUUAUAGGAAUGAUUCUAGUUAAUUUGCUUUUCACUUUCCAUAUCACAUGUCACAUCUGUUCUGAACACUAAUAAGAAACUCAUUUUACUCGAUCAUGAAUUUACUUAAUUUCCACUUGUUGCUCUGGGAGUCAUUUGAAUUUGUCAGUGGGUAAUCAGAUGUUUCAAGUUGUGAGUUCUUUAUGAAUUUGUUUUAAUUUGCACAAUUUUCGGCACCUUUUGAUCGUCUUUUCUUUUCCUUCCUUUGCUUAUCAUUUCCCCUGGCGCGAGGGAUGUUGUAUGCUUAUGGUCUUCCAAUUACAAAGCUGGCCAAGAGAUCUGAACGUGGCUGUGUGGGAAAUUCCAUCCUGGAGGCAGCAGCUACUAUAUAUACAGAUGCUUCCUUGCAACAUUGCAGAGAUCACUAGUCCAUCCACUUUCUGCUUUGUUGGCAUGCCACGUCACUGUCUCAGAUCUAAAGUUGAUGGAUGCUUCUACCUGUAUUCACGGCUAUUCUAUCAUUUCUAUGCUUGUAUCUUUUUUAUUUGCUGUAAACUAUUUUACUUUCUAGUAAAUUUAUCUUCUUAUUAUCA